UAGUGUCCAUUGACUGUUGGCCUGGUGCCACCCAUCUCCAAGAGAUGUCUGAUUUCAUCGUCCCUGUGUCUCUCCAUCAGGUAGCUACAGACAGCAGCUGGCUCUCUCCAUUUCUUGGAACUUUCUUCCUUGAACUGUGUGGACAAAUUUGUGUGCAUUUAAGGACUCUCACUGUCUGAAAUAUGCCAGAAAUCAGGUGCAACACGGUGGGCUGCAUUUUGCUCUUGAAAUCAGGUGCAACACGGUGGGUUGCAUGACAAUCCAGAUGACAAUUAAAGGAAUGAAUAUCACAUUUGUUGGAACCACGGCCAAGUGCCCAUCUCCUCCCACUGCAAGGCUGACUGAGCUGGUGCUGGUUUCAGUUUGCCCUUGAACAGGGAGCUGGAGGAUAUUGCAGCUGGUGUUCAUGAGGCAGGUAAGCAUUGCAGCCAGCUGGCCGUGCCAUGAGGCAGGGAAGCAUUGCUCCUGGGGCAGCACCGCCUUGCACACUCCACAGUCUUCCUUUCAAGACAGGUGAGCCAGAACCCAAAUGAUGCUGCAGAAAUUUUUUGAACUAGGGCUCUGUUCCACUGGUCUCUAUGCCCAUCUCCUCCACAGUUAUGUGACCAAGUUCAAGAUUCCCCUGAAUUAGCUGGGCUGUAGUAACCAUCUAAGUGCUCCCUGCUUGAUGGAAAUAGCAGGUUGUCAGUAUUUAGCUUCUUUACAAGUAGUUCAAAACAAAGUGCUGUUAUCUUUAAUUUGGCAGAAAUAAUUGUUCCCAGGCACAGUUACUGGGUCUGAGCUGGCCCACAGGGAUGUAACAGGCUAUAAUUUAUUAGUUGUAUGUUUGAGCAUUUUUUACAAUACAAAUUCACACUAGUACAAUAAAAGUAAAGCAGCUUCUGAGUGUGAGGAAGUAUCAACUUGGUGCUGUGAGCCCCAGAUGAACAAAAGCACACAAGGCCCUACCUCAGGUUGUGGUUUUGCUCUGAUUAAGCUACAGCACUUCAAAGACAUUUAAGCAAGUAGAUGUGCUGUCAGCAUCUGAUUGAUUUAUUUCUUUAAUUGCUACAUAGAUGUCAUAGGCCCGUGAAAAAUCAAUACUGAGAAAUAAUCCAGCUUGCACUCCAAAGCAGGAUCAGCUAUAUUUGAAUGCCAGGUACUGACAAAACAUGAAUCCACAGCAUUAAUAAACUGCUCUCAGCAAAAGACUUGAAAGAAAUAAAAAUGCAAAUGCUAAUUCUGCCAGCACAUGCAAGUCCUAAGAAGUUUUUGUUUCUGGAAGGGCUCAGCCUUGGCAUCAUGUUGUGUCACUGAUGAGACCUCCAUGGAGAUCAUGAGGAAGAGGUUGGGCUACUCUAUUGUUUUUGAAGAUUUCCACCCACCUGAGCUUAGUCGAAGCAGAACAGUCAUUGUACUCAUGACUUAGAACUCUCAAGGAAUUUAAUUAUUUUUUUGGCUAACAUUACCUAUAUCAAGUACCUAUGAGAGCCAAGCCUUUGCACAUAUAGACAGAACUCUCCUGUGCUUGUGGAGUGUAAAUAAUGAGAACACUUAAUUACAUGAGAGCUGGGCAAAAGUUCCAUUCAAAUUUAAGUCAUUGAAGCUUGAAUCAGUGCAGCAGCAAGUUAGCAGUUAAAUACACAUCCUGUUCCAGGUUGUGUAUGCAUAUUAACUUAGCUACAAGAUUGGAACUGAGUUGAACUAGUUCUGGUAGAAACAACAAAGGCAUUCCAAGAGCCAGGUAACACAGUGUAAGACAUGGGAAAACAGUGCUGAUCGGCAAGAUGGAUAAUAACCAUGACCCCAGAGCAUCAGUUGUCAAGUUUUUUGAGACAUACUUUUGAGUGAUGAGGUGUUUGAAGGAUUUUUAAGAGAACUCUUGGGAGUUUUUAUGAGGAGCUGCCCUGUGCCUGAGGGAGACUCUAAUGGUUUGCACACUGCAGACACAAGCCUGGAAGAAACUUGGGUGAAGCUUCUUGCAGAGGGAGAAGAGGAGGCUUUCCAGUUAUUUUAAUUUCUGUAACGAGGAUGAAGAAAAGACAUCAAUACAGAACACAUAUGAAAUUCUGCCUGUGUAAUGAAGAAUAUUCUUUGACUACACUGUUUCCAGUGUAAACUACUGAACGUGCAAACACAAGUUGCAUGGGAGAUAAGCCAAGGUGAUGAAGUCCAAGCAAGAUGAGGAAGCACAGAGACUGUAAACACAUUAUCUUCUAUUAAAGGAAACAUGUGUUGUAAAGAUAUAGGGUCUUGUCUUUUAUUUUGGUAAGAAUAUGUUGUUUUUAUUCUGAUA